ACAUGAGUGCCAGAAGUUUAUAAUGGGUUGGUUUUAAGCAUCAAAUAUGGAUUUAUUCCCUUGUGUA
rnacentral:tRNA from 1 species